rnacentral:lncRNA from 1 species
CAACGCCCUAAAGCCACACCCUCUCGCAGUAGAGGGAACAGGAACCUCCAACCCCAAGUGGAGUGUGCAUGGUACUGCUGUUAUACCCUGCUACGUGGAGCGACCGAUGCCAGCAGCCAAAGACAGUGGUGCUGCCUUGAACCCAUAAACAGUCUGGUGUGUAAGGAAGAAUGGAGCAAGCGAAGGUAAAUUAACAGAAGACGUACACCCCCUAGACGCUGCUGGAGAAACUGGACACCCCUAAGCCCAGAUCCACUCCCCCCCAGGAGCUCCCAACUUACCCUUCUUGGGCCUGGAAUGUCGCAGGGGACUUUCUUGCAGCCGACCCUUGUAAACUGCAUGACCAGAAGUGAUGGCCGCGUCACUUCCUGCGUGUUCGGCGGAGCCAUUAAUGGUGGCCACAUGGUACUGCCAGAGUUGAGGGAAGCACUCCGGCGACCACAGACAGCGCGGGAGCCGAGGGGGCAGCAGGGAGAGUGCCCUGAAGAACCCCAGGAGACGCAUGGGUCGCGAGCUGCCUGGGGUCUGCCACAUCCAAGCAGGUAGAGGGCAAGUUGUGGUCAGGGCCACUGGAGGCCCCGGGGUAAAGCAGAGUGAGAGUGGGAGACGGGUUGUCCUUGGCUGCCUGAGUAAAUGCAGCCAAGGCAGAGAGAGCAUAGGAGGGAAGAGGGUCAAACUGAGCAGCCAAGUGAUGCAAUGCCUAAGCUGAAGGGGGGAGGGAAGUAGGGGAUACACGAGGGUGUGAGAAAGAAGGAAGGACAGGAUGGGGAAAGUGAUGCUGAACAGCAGUAGAAGGAAGAGAAGAGACAGAUAGUGAAGAAACCUUAGAAACAGGAGGAGUGGAGACAGGCACAGAAGAAAUUAUAGCAGUUGGAGGAGUUGGAGAAAACUUCUCAAUACUCAUCUCUUGUUCUUCCAUUGCAGGGCGUCGGGAAGAAGGAGGGAUGGAGUUUCUGAACCUCUGUGGGGAUCCUACCAAGAGGCGAAACCUUUCCAGGAACCAGCAGGAAUAAAAAGGAGGGACAGGAAUUGGAGGAACCUCUUAAAAGGGAAGGGGAGGCCCCUCCCACCAUGCUGCAACAUUUACUGCCUAAACUCCAGUCCUAUUGAAAGACCCAUUAAUUACUUUUCAGGCCCACUAGGGGGCCCUCUCCAGAGCCGGACUGGCCCACCGGGAUACCGGGAAAUUUCCCGGUGGGCCGUGGCACCUGGGGCUGGGCUGACAGCCCUAAUCAGUGAUCAGGCUCCUGUAAUCCCGGCCGGCCAUGUGUGAGCUGUGUGGCCGCACAGGGCCCCAUGGAAGCAGGGGAAGCCAGGCAGCCGGCACAGCACACACAUGGCCGGCCGGGAUCAUUUAAAAAAAAAAAAAAUUGCGGUGGGGUGGAGCUAGCGUGCGGCAGGGGUGGAGCUUAGUGUGCAGCGGGGCGGAGCUUAAAAUGCGACGGGGGCCCUGGUAACUGCUGCAUGGGAAGAAGGAAGGAGUCCCUUCCUUGUCUGUAAGGAGCAUGAGCCUGUCUAUGGUGAGCAUGUGUGUACAGUGAGCUUGUCUGUAGUAAGCAUGUGUGUGAUCGUGAGCUUGUCUGUAGUGACCAUAUGUGUGUCAGUGAGCUUGUCUGUAGUAAGCAUGUGUGUGAUCGUGAGUUUGUUUGUAGUGACCAUAUGUGUGUCAGUGAGCUUGUCUGUAGUGAGCAUGUGUGUGUCAGUGAGCUUGUCUGUAGGGAGAGUGUGUGUGCAUCAGUGAGCUUGUCUGUAGUGAGCGUGUGUGUGUGACAGUGAGCUUGUCUGUAGUAAGCUUGUGUGUGUAUCAGAGUUUGUCUGUACUAAAUUUGUGUGUGCCAGUAACCUUGUCUGUGUGUGUCAUUGAGAUUGUCUGUCAAUGAGCCUAUUUGUGUGCAUCAGUAAGAUUGUCUGUGUCUGUGUGUGAGUAUGCUUUACUGUAUAAUUUAAUUACCC